UCUUCCCAUUCCGAACAGAGAAGUUAAGCCCGCCUGCGCAGAUGGUACUGCAAUCCUGUGGGAGAGUAUGUCGCCGCCUUCC
rnacentral:rRNA from 1 species